rnacentral:rRNA from 1 species
GAACGAACGCUGGCGGCAUGCCUAACACAUGCAAGUCGAACGAGACCUUCGGGUCUCGUGGCGCACGGGUGCGUAACGCGUGGGAACCUGCCCUUAGGUUCGGAAUAACUCCCCGAAAGGGGUGCUAAUACCGGAUAAUGUCUUCGGACCAAAGAUUUAUCGCCUUUGGAUGGGCCCGCGUUGGAUUAGCUAGUUGGUAGGGUAAAAGCCUACCAAGGCGACGAUCCAUAGCUGGUCUGAGAGGAUGAUCAGCCACACUGGGACUGAGACACGGCCCAGACUCCUACGGGAGGCAGCAGUGGGGAAUAUUGGACAAUGGGCGAAAGCCUGAUCCAGCAAUGCCGCGUGAGUGAUGAAGGCCUUAGGGUUGUAAAGCUCUUUUACCCGGGAUGAUAAUGACAGUACCGGGAGAAUAAGCUCCGGCUAACUCCGUG